UUUUACCUGAAAAUACAUAUUGUACGAGAUGCUGAUAGGUGCCACAACGACAAACCUACACAACAAGUGCCAUGUAACUUCGGAUAAUACGUAGUAAUCGAAUAGAGACUGUUUUCUACGUUAAUACCUUCGCAAACUAUCUCUAAUGCUGACGUCAUUCCAAGACAAAUAUUCUGCUUCGUGCAAAGCCAUGCCGCAAUGCGAAACAAGACACAGAGAAACUGGAUAAAUUAUCAAAGACUCUUCGCCAUUAUCGGACAACUCGAAUGGGACAGUUCGUGGGAGCUGAUAAACUCAUUUCGUGCAACACAUUUUGCUAUAUACUUAUAUUAAACGUCUAUUUAAUAAAUCACAACGCAAGGGAUAUGCGCCUAAAUAUCAAACAGUGAAGUCCAAUCAAUAAAAUAGAAGAGAAACAUCG